UACGUAGGGUGCGAGCGUUAAUCGGAAUUACUGGGCGUAAAGUGUGCGCAGGCGGCAGAGCAAGCCGAGUGUGAAAGCCCCGGGCUUAACUUGGGAAUUGCGCUCGAAACUACUUUGCUGGAGUGUGGCAGAGGAAGGUGGAAUUCCACGUGUAGCGGUGAAAUGCGUAGAGAUGUGGAGGAACACCAAUGGCGAAGGCAGCCUUCUGGGCCAACACUGACGCUCAUGCACGAAAGCGUGGGGAGCAAACAGG
rnacentral:rRNA from 1 species